rnacentral:rRNA from 1 species
UACGGAGGGUGCGAGCGUUGUCCGGAAUCACUGGGCGUAAAGCGCACGUAGGCGGCCGAUUAAGUCGGGGGUGAAAGCCUGUGGCUCAACCACAGAAUUGCCUUCGAUACUGGUUGGCUUGAGACCGGAAGAGGACAGCGGAACUGCGAGUGUAGAGGUGAAAUUCGUAGAUAUUCGCAAGAACACCAGUGGCGAAGGCGGCUGUCUGGUCCGGUUCUGACGCUGAGGCGCGAAAGCGUGGGGAGCAAACAGG